rnacentral:rRNA from 1 species
AUGUUUGUUCCUUGCAAACUGGACAGUCUUAGACACUUUUGGAUUACAAGUUUGCAUUCCCCCAUCUUAAGUGAAGUUCUCAUUUGUUGGAAACUAGAUGAAACAAAUCAUACUAUUUAUCUCCAGUGGCAGAUCCAGAAAUGUGCGGAUGGCAGUGUGAGCAGUAGCUGCAAAGGCGGUGUCGAAUCACCAGAUAGCUUGCACGAAGGCAUGUAUAAUUUAAUCUGGGCAUGGCAACACAUUGUUGAUGCAAAAACAAGCACCCAAACAAACAGCCGGCAUUCUACAAAUACUAACAUCAAGACAUGCGACAUAUGCAACAGACAAACAGUAAUUACAAGCUUAAUCUGGUAUAUGGCUAUAACACUAAAGUAUAUCAGUUCAUGUUAA